AUGACACCAAGAGACAACACAGGCAAAGGAAAGUGCCCCUUGGAAGCCCAAGUGACCCAGAACCCAAGAUAUCUCAUCACAGUGACUGGAAAGAAGUUAAAAGUGACUUGUUCUCAGAAUAUGAACCACGAGUAUAUGUCCUGGUAUCGACAAGACCCAGGACUGGGCUUAAGGCAGAUCUACUAUUCAAUGAAUGUUGAGGUGGUUGAUAAGGGAGAUGUUCCUGAAGGGUACAACGUCUCUCGAAAAGAGAAGAGGAAUUUCCCCCUGAUCCUGGAGUCGCCCAGCCCCAACCAGACCUCUCUGUACUUCUGUGCCAGCAGUUUAUCCACAGUGCUGCAUAGCCAGCUGCUCUCUGCACAAAAACAGAGGGUAGCUGCAAGAACAAGGAGACUCCUCCUUCAGAAGACCCCUCGCCGACCAACAGGAUAA